rnacentral:rRNA from 1 species
GUGCCAGCAGCCGCGGUAAUACGUAGGUGGCAAGCGUUGUCCGGAUUUAUUGGGCGUAAAGGGAGCGCAGGUGGUUUCUUAAGUCUGAUGUGAAAGCCCACGGCUCAACCGUGGAGGGUCAUUGGAAACUGGGAAACUUGAGUACAGAAGAGGAAAGCGGAACUCCAUGUGUAGCGGUGGAAUGCGUAGAUAUAUGGAAGAACACCAGUGGCGAAGGCGGUUUUCUGGUCUGUUACUGACACUGAGGCUCGAAAGCGUGGGGAGCGAACAGGAUUAGAUACCCUGGUAGUCC